CCUACGGGCGGCAGCAGUGGGGGAUAUUGCACAAUGGGGGAAACCCUGAUCCAGCGACGCCGCGUGAGUGAAGAAGUAUUUCGGUAUGUAAAGCUCUAUCAGCCGGGAAGAAAAUGACAGUACCUGACCAAGAAGCCCCGGCUAACUACGUGCCAGCAGCCGCGGUAAUACGUAGGGGGCAACCGUUAUCCGGAUUUACUGGGUGUAAAGGGGGCGUAGACGGUUAUGUAAGUCUGAAGUGAAAGCCCGGGGCCCAACCCCUGCACUGCUUUGGAAACUGUGUAACUGGAGUACAGGAGGGGCAGGCGGAAGUCCUGGUGUAGCGGUGAAAUGCGUAGAUAGCAGGAGGAACACCGGCGGCGAAGGCGGCUUGCUGGACUGAAACUGACGUUGAGGCUCGAAAGCGUGGGGAGCAAACAGGAUUAGAUACCCCAGUAGUC
rnacentral:rRNA from 1 species